ACAUGCACAGUGACAAUUCCCCCCUCCUCUGCCUUUUUGUUCCUUCCAGGUCUCAGCUGACCGGUCAGGGCCCAUCCUCACCGACAGGCACAUAUCUACCCCGUGCACUGACUCACACGCCAAUCUCUUCUAGAAACCUUCAGAGACACACCCAGAGAGAACGGUCUACCAACCAUCUGAACGUCCCUUAGUCCAGUGAAGGUGACACUAGAAUUAUCCAGGACAGAGUGUGUCUGAAUCUUGGAAGGGUUGGUUGCCGCCUUUGGAGCCCAGGGAGGCCACAGUGGACUGCCGAGUGUUGAGUCACCGGGACAAGGUGGCUCUUCUGGGGAGAGAGCUGCCGUAGGAGCAGUGCGUCACAGAACUGGUAAUUCGCUGGAAACGUGCAUCAUCCCAGUGCUUGUCCUCGACGCAGUGCCUCCCUCCAGCGAGCAUCAGAAGCCUGGGUGCAAACUUUGCAAUUUGAUAUGCAGAAUAUCAGGAGAAGGUGCGUCAAAGGUCAAGGUCUAACACCACUCAUGACUUCAUUGUGUCCCUAAGGCCUUCUUAAGGGAAGCGGGCCACUUCACUUCUUGUCCUGAGCGUAGGGUGGUGAAGAACGCUGGUGAGGGACAGGGGACGUUCUGCACAGCUGCCCAGGAGGGGUGUCAUCAGGUGUGCACCCCCAGGGGAGAGCAGUAUUGUGAAAUGGUCUCACCCAUGCAGCCCCUGGAAGCAUUGGGGACACCGAGGGUUAUGGACCACACUUUGAAAACCGUCGAAAUAAAGGAGGCUGCAUGGGUGACUGUGCCUCUGGAACUAUCCAGACUUCAGGGCAGUCUGUGACAGAGACAGGGGUCAGCAGGCCUGAGCUCUCAUGCUCGCCGCCGCCUGUUCCGGGCGGGUUGCACCUGCUUGCUUGCUCUUUUCUUUUUGCAGAGCUCGGAAUUGAACCCGGGCCUCACAGAGCCAGGCAAGUGCCCUCCACGGAGUUGCCCCCCAGCCCUCGAUCCUGCUUCCUGAGAGGAAUGAAAACAGCACUGUGUUGCUUCACUCCUACCAACGUGCCCACGCGGUCAACUCUGCACAGCCUGCACAGCGGGGUGACACUCGGAAAGCAGGAUCACAGGCCAGGACACCACUGUGGGAUUGUGCUGAUGACCAUGAUAUGCAUUCCAGCGGUGACCAUGGGGUCUAAAGAAGCGAGCUGGGCAUAGGGGAUCCACUGGCCAGUGCACCCACCCGGAGCUGGACCUGUACCUGGCUCUGCUUCCUAGCUGGCCUCUCCUCUGCUUCUCCGGGGAGGCCACAGUGGACUCCUGGAAUGAAUGUUGAGUCAGUCCUCAGAAGUCUGGAUAUUUCCUUUCCAGAGGCACAGUCCCCUGUGCAUACAGCUGUAGGUUCUCUGAAGAAGGGGACUGAGGCUCUUUCUACUGAAGACUCUUGAUCCUCUGUUGUAGGGGUUGUUCCUCGUAUAUACCUUCGGCCCAAGAAGUGCUCAGGUCUGAUGACUGGGCAGGUGAUUAUGGCUUCAUUAUUAGGCUACCUAGAGUCGCCUUCUAGGCCAUCCGCCCCUGAUUCUUUUCAAGUGCACAAAUUAAGCAAUUCUCCUGUUGAGUGCCCAGUGGAAUGUAGGGCCACUAUGUUCAUUACACUACCUUCCCAGCUCUGUGGAUUGGCCUCUCCUGGCUGCCACUUGACCCUGUUGCAAUAAUUAUGGGAGGAGCCCUUCAUCAGCCUUUAGUGACAGUUUCCAAAACAGUGUCCUAAGCUAAUUUCUUUCUUUUUU